GACGAACGCUGGCGGCGUGCCUAAUACAUGCAAGUAGAACGCACAGGAUGCACCGUAGUUUACUACACCGUAUUCUGUGAGUUGCGAACGGGUGAGUAACGCGUAGGUAACCUGCCUGGUAGCGGGGGAUAACUAUUGGAAACGAUAGCUAAUACCGCAUAAGAACAUUUACUGCAUGGUAGAUGUUUAAAAGGUGCAAGAGCAUCACUACCAGAUGGACCUGCGUUGUAUUAGCUAGUUGGUGAGGUAACGGCUCACCAAGGCAACGAUACAUAGCCGACCUGAGAGGGUGAUCGGCCACACUGGGACUGAGACACGGCCCAGACUCCUACGGGAGGCAGCAGUAGGGAAUCUUCGGCAAUGGGGGGAACCCUGACCGAGCAACGCCGCGUGAGUGAAGAAGGUUUUCGGAUCGUAAAGCUCUGUUGUUAAGGAAGAACGUGUGUGAGAGUGGAAAGUUCAUACAGUGACG
rnacentral:rRNA from 1 species